rnacentral:lncRNA from 1 species
CUCUUCUCCUCUCAGUCAUUCUGGAUUAUAGUCCCGAGGAGGCGAGUCAUUCACAGAGAACCGGGCUCAACGUUUCCCGCGGCUGUUAUCGACACUGACACAAGGCCUGAUUACAAUCAUAAGGCCAAAUCAUCCCACACAGCCUUCAUUAGCGUGAG